rnacentral:rRNA from 1 species
CCUACGGGAGGCAGCAGUGAGGAAUAUUGGUCAAUGGGCGCGAGCCUGAACCAGCCAAGUAGCGUGAAGGAUGACUGCCCUACGGGUUGUAAACUUCUUUUAUCAAGGAAUAAAGUGAGGCACGUGUGCCUUUUUGUGUGUACUUUAUGAAUAAGGAUCGGCUAACUCCGUGCCAGCAGCCGCGGUAAUACGGAGGAUGCGAGCGUUAUCCGGAUUUAUUGGGUUUAAAGGGAGCGCAGGCGGGUUGUUAAGUCAGGCGUGAAAGUCCGGGGCUCAACCCCAGAACUGCAAUUGAAACUGGCAGGCUUGAGUACAGGAGAGGUAGGCGGAAUUCGCGGUGUAGCGGUGAAAUGCAUAGAUAUCACGAAGAACUCCGAUUGCGAAGGCAGCAUGCCAGACUGACACUGACGUUGAGGCACGAAAGCGUGGGUAUCAAACAGGAUUAGAUACCCUAGUAGUC